GGAAAACGUUUUAAAGCUCACAGGGCCAUUUUGAGUGCCAGAUCUAGUUAUUUUGCUGCAAUGCUGAGUGGCUGUUGGGCUGAAAGCUCCCAAGAGUAUGUUACUCUUCAAGGUAUAAGCCAUGUAGAACUGAAUGUUAUGAUGCAUUUUAUAUAUGGAGGAACUCUGGACAUUCCAGACAAAACUAAUGUUGGUCAGAUACUCAAUAUGGCUGAUAUGUAUGGACUAGAAGGAUUAAAAGAAGUAGCAAUCUAUAUUUUAAGAAGAGAUUACUGUAAUUUCUUUCAGAAGCCUGUUCCCAGAACAUUGACGUCUAUACUAGAAUGCCUGAUUAUUGCUCAUUCAGUUGGAGUGGAAAGUCUUUUUGCUGACUGCAUGAAGUGGAUUGUAAAGCAUUUUGCAAGAUUUUGGUCUGAGAGAAGCUUUGCAAAUAUACCUCCUGAGAUUCAGAAAAGUUGUCUUAAUAUGUUGAUUCAGUCCUUAUUGUGGGUGGCUGGAGCCUGUCCUUGCAGCUAAGGACCCAAGGUUGGAACCAACCCUGGACAGGAUACCAUUCCAGUGCAGGGUGUACUCACAGCACAGAACACUCACUUAUACUGGGACAUUGUAGAGAUGCCAGUUCACCAAAUGUGCACAUCUUUGGGAUGUGGGAGGAAACUGGAGUGUCCAAAGAAAACCCAUGCAGACAUGGGGAAAACAUGCAAACUCUACACAGACAAUGGCCUGGCCAGGAAUCCUUUUUUCCCUCAUCAACAUUAUAA
rnacentral:sRNA from 1 species